ACACCCAGAGCAGAAGCUAGGGCAGAGCCAAUGCUGAGGGAGCCUCGACUUCCGGCGCCGCCGCCCUCUCCCGGCAUCCGCAGAGCCAGCUGACGCCCUCCCUGCCUCCCAGGGCAGCUGGCCAGCCUCGGGCAGCGCGGCCCCCUCCUCCCAGGGGAGAGUAGAAGUCACACACGCAGCAGAGCAGACCUGAUGUCCCGGUGCUUCCUGGCCCCUCAGCUCCAGUGAUUCACGCCCGCCUGGAGGAGAAUCAGAGCUCAGCUCAUGACUCACCCGUGGCAGGCGGAGGGUCCCAGAGGGGCUGAGUCCUCAAAUCCGGCUGAGGCAGCAGCUGGCACCAUCAGAGCCAGGAGAGUGACAACAGGUAACGGAGCACCACCCUUCCACCCAGACCCCACCAUCAGCUG
rnacentral:sRNA from 1 species